rnacentral:rRNA from 1 species
AGUCCUAAGAUGUUAUUUAGGAUGAAGCCUGCCCAGUGCUAAUUGUAAACGGCCGCAGUACCUUGACUGUGCUAAGGUAGCAAAAUCAUUUGGCUUUUAAAUGGAGUCGGGAAUGAAAGGAUCCAUGGAAUGAAGCUGUCUCUUUUAUAUUUUAUUGAAUUUAUUUAUUAGGUGAAAAUACCUAAUACAAGAAAAAAGACGAGAAGACCCUAGGAGUUUUUACUAUAAAUUAAUUAUUUAAUUACGGUUUUUGUUGGGGCAACAUAGGAACAUAAAAUAAUCUCCUUUAAUUAUAUGCCGACUUAGUAUGAGCAAAUAAACUACCCUAGGGAUAACAGCGUAAUUCUUUAUAGAGCUUGCGACCUCGAUGUUGGACUAGGAAUUUGAUUGGCUAGCCGCCAAUUUAUAUGGUUCUGUUCGAACUAAUUUUCCUACAU